rnacentral:RNase_P_RNA from 1 species
GAGCCGCGGCGGGCAGCCGCUUCGCACCGCAAGGUGCGGGGAGGAAAGUCCGGACUCCGCAGGGCGGGAAGUCCUCCUCACGGGGGAUACCGGAGCGAAAAGCAACGGGAAGGAAAGCGCAGCAGAAAACAAACCGCCGGUGCAAAUCGGCAAGGGUGAAAAGGCGGUGUAAGAGACCACCGGAGCGGGAAGAAAUUUCCGCUGCCUGGCAAGCCCCUUCCGGAGCAAGGCCAAAUAGGGGAUGAGCCGCGGCCCGCGGCGUUCGAAUCCCGGGUAUUGACCGCACAGACAGAUGGCUGCCGCCCGCAAGGGUACAGAAUCCGGCUUACAGCCGCGGCUCGCUU